rnacentral:rRNA from 1 species
GACGAACGCUGGCGGCGUGCUUAACACAUGCAAGUCGAACGGAAAGGCCCUGCUUUUGUGGGGUGCUCGAGUGGCGAACGUGUGAGUAACACGUGAGUAACCUGCCCUUGACUUUGGGAUAACUUCAGGAAACUGGGGCUAAUACCGGAUAGGAGCUCCUGCUGCAUGGUGGGGGUUGGAAAGUUUCGGCGGUUGGGGAUGGACUCGCGGCUUAUCAGCUUGUUGGUGGGGUAGUGGCUUACCAAGGCUUUGACGGGUAGCCGGCCUGAGAGGGUGACCGGCCACAUUGGGACUGAGAUACGGCCCAGACUCCUACGGGAGGCAGCAGUGGGGAAUAUUGCACAAUGGGCGGAAGCCUGAUGCAGCAACGCCGCGUGCGGGAUGACGGCCUUCGGGUUGUAAACCGUUUUCGCCUGUGACGAAGCGUGAGUGACGGUAAUGGGUAAAGAAGCACCGGCUAACUACGUG